CCUCCCAGACCUGCCUCCCAAUUUUCGGUGAGUGGUGUAGCCCUGGGCGGCGUGCAAAGUGUGCGACGGCGGCGCUUACCCCUGCUGCGCGCCUCCUUACCUCCAGCUUCCCGGUUUGUGCACGCGGGGACCGCCACCCACCCCUCCCUCGCGGCGGCGCGCGCCCGUGGAGGAUGUGGUCGAGACCACUGGGUUAGAAGCAGUGACACCAACUUCUCAACUCCCGCUGCUCACUUUUCCUGGGACCUUGGUUGAGUCACUUGUUGCCACACAGGUGUCUGCUUGGGUGCACCUCUACCAAGCCCUCUUUUUUAUCUGAAUGGACAACAGAGAGCAAUUCAAAGUCACCAAAGAACACUUGGAAUUAAGAACAGGAAGAAAAAGCUACAGGCCAGACCCCCAUAACCUGCAGCUGCUACCUCCCUCACUGCUGGCCUCUGACCUUCUCGAACUCUGCUGAAAGUUGCUGCGUUUGCCCUCCUCUCCACAUCCAGACUAAGCUGGGUCUUUGUCACACUUUGGAUUAUAACCUCUUUUCCACUCAAAAAUAUACCUUCUUUUGAAAAAAGCUCAAAGGAACUACUGUUCUAAGUUGGUGCUUUUCACCUAAAUAAAAGCAGAUAAAAAUACUGAACCGAUAGACCUUAAUAUGCUGGUAAGCCAAUUUGACAGUAAGGCCUCACAAUCAAUGAUUCCGUGACUGUUUAAAGAGAUCACGACUCACAAUCAUUCACCAAGUAGAUUAGAAACUACUUGAAGACAAGGCCCAAGUUUUAUAUCUUUAUAUAUUAAACAAAACCUCUUGGUUAAAUUUGAUUAAGUGAUUGUCAUUUUAAAAAAUUGGUGAAGACUUAUAAGGAGGAGGAACAGGCCAGAAACUGUUAUGUUCCAUUUGAUCAAAAGCAUCUUCCUUCCUGCUUCUAAUGCCCCACAGCACAAAUACAUUGUAUUUAAGAAGAACAAGGUUAAUAGUAACCAAUAAACCUUGAUACUUAUGCCAGUAGCUAUAUACAUAUUACUACAAUGAAUAUAAUGAAGAGUCUCCUUAUUUGGAAAUCCUUGAGUUGGGUUACCAUCUCUCCCUUUUAGAUACAUAUCACACCUGAACUUUGAAAGGAGUGAAACUGUCCCAUGUCAUAUACUGACACAUAUCCCAGGCAGGGCACAAUCAGGACUACUGUCCUAGAAAUGUAUAAGACAAGGUCAGGCUUCAGUCAUUUCAACUUCUAACCUAGCAGGGCAUCCUUGAAAUAUUUUUUAAGUGUAGGUUUCACCUAUAUUUUAUUAUGACCAACCACUGAUGGACAAAUAAAGCAUUUACUUUGUAAAUAAAUGACAGCAGGUGGAAUCAAGGGUUUAUAGGUAAGCAAAAGACUCGAAGAGCUCUGAAACACAAGCUCGUUUGUGGUCUGUUCGGCUUUCUGUUUUCACUCGACACAAAGUGAAAGAUGAGAUUUUACUUAAUUGGCAUGGGGAGCUGACACUGUCUCCAGUUUUCCGUCUAGCAUUUGACCUACCUGGGGCCUUAAAAGUUUUAAUUUUUUAAAAAGUCUUUUCAGAUUUGCAGGCCACCACGUGUGACCUUUUCAUAUAAAUUAGUAAUUUAUUUUAAUAGGUCAUUACCAUUUUAAGUACCUGGUUUAUGCUUUGAGAGUAGAGCAAUUCAUUAGCAUAAUUCUUGGAACAGUUCUGACUAGAGAGUUUUCCAGUGGAAGGGGCCUCUCAUUUGGCUCAGGGAGAGAUGGAAGUUAUGGAAACUUCAGGCUCCAGAGAGGGGCAAAGGGCCAGAAUGUUGGGAGUAUAAAAUGCCGAGGGAGGGCACAGGUCCCUCCCUCAGGUGACUUGCUUCAUGCCAAAGCCAGCAAGUUGGGAUUAAUAACACACUCCCAACCUAAAACACUAGGUCACCUAAUGAUACAACUUGGUUAAACAGAUGGUGUCACACGCUACACAGAGAGAUGGCCUAGCAACAGUUCUUUCCAACAUUGCAUAUUUUACAACAAUGGGUGAAUUCACAUGUCGGAGUUUGAAUUUUGUGGUCUUGUAAGCUUCAUAUUUAUGGGUGGAUGUGUUCCUUGGCUCUUUUGCAUCUUCCUGUCUAAGAAUGCCUUGUCUACUUUUAGAAGCAAUAGACUCGCCACAGCUGAGAAUCUUGAAAAUAUUGUUACACUUAAUGAUGUAAUUCAGUUUUUGGACAAGCGUGUUCUUGGCCUUUUCAUUAGCUGGGGUUAUUGUAAGAGCCCAGAGAAAAUAUAAUUUUCCAAGAGCCCAGAGAAAAUAUAAUUAUAAUAUUAUUUUAAUAGCCUAUGAAAAAAUAAAUAGGUUUCCAAUGAAACAGAAACCUUAGCUGUAAGAUUUUAAUAAUAGUAUUUAGUGCUUUCCUGGUGCUUUCUGUCUUUAAAGCACAUUCUGCACUUUAUUUAACUAGAAUGACAAAUGAAUGAGACUUGAAGCCUGGGCUAUACAUAUGAUAAAAGCAGGCACUGUAAAAAGCCUUUUCCUAGUCCCAGUAAAUCCCCGGUAAAAAGGUUCUGUUAAUUAGGAUGAUAAAGUUCUUAAAAAUCUAACAUAGUGAUUACCUAUGGCAUUUUUUUUCUUGUCAUAUUGACUAGUUAGUAACUUCGACCACAAAGUACUCCUAAACUUGCAUUCUAAACUAAACACACAGUUUAGUUAGUAACGCUUUAUUUCAGGAGACUUAAAGUCAAUUACUGCAUGGCCAUAUGAAAUUUCCCUAUUUAAUUUCCAUUAACUAAUUUUAAAAUAAUUUGUUUUUAGUUCAGAACACACUCUAAUCUAUACAGAAUGUGGAGGCACAUUGGCCAAUGUGUUUGGACCCAGCCAGUGGCUCUGAGAUGCCAUUCAAGCAUCUACUUAAAACCAGGGCACACAACAUGAAGGCAAUUGGGACUUGUUGUGCCUUUAUUGAUCUUUCUUGACUCUGAUGGGCGGGGCCCAUCUAUGAGAGGAGCUUCCUGGUCUCCAUGGAUGACCAGUCCUCAAGGCCAUCAUUGCCUUUCUCACAACAUCCCAAGGAGCCCCAGACUAGGUGGGAGUGGACUUUUAACAAAGCCAGCAUCUACCUUAGCAGGGGGAAACAAUAAAAAAGAGACUACGUGCAUUACUCUGUUCCUUUUAAAACUUAAACCUAAAUAAUAUGAUACACAUGUUAGUCUUAGUUGAAGAUUCUAGAUGGACAAAAAAUUUGGAUUGGGGCGUAAUGACAUCAACCAUAGACCAAUGGCCCCACUUACUGGAGAUCUUAAUUGGGUAAAAAAAAAGAUAUACAAGUGGUACCACUCUAUAGCAGGAAAGUUAAUUUUCCUAAACUAAAAUAUCUUUGACUUCCCUUGGGGAAACAAAUUUCAUGAAGACUAAGGUAAUGGGAAAACCUGUUGCUUAGAUCUUGUAACUUGGCCUUGAGGAUGGAAACUCAUCCAGGAGGGGGACUGAUCAAGGAGGACUAGUUAAAAACAGGUGCAGGCCAGCUCACUUUUGUUUUUAUUUACAAGGUGCCUUAUUCAAAUAACAUUUUGAUCCAACAUCUUACUAAACAAGUAACGACAGGAAAAAAUAAAUAAAAAGCAAGUUGGCACUAUCAAGAGAGUGCUGAGGUCCUAAUAAGAUCUCCUUCAGUAAAAGCCCUUUAAAUGUUCUUAAAGAUUUUAGUUUUUUUCACUGUAUUCAAUUCUUCAAAUGUAGCCCCAUAUAACUAAGAGAUUAGAGAGUUAAACACUCCAGAUUAAUCAAGUAAUAAAUUUCCUUUCGUUAAAUGCUGCUUUGUGUAUACGUAUAUACAAACGAAACACCCGCUAAGUACAAGUUUUACUUGUACAAUCUUGGGUUUUUACUUUAUUUACCUACCAACCAAAUGUGGGUGAUCAUUUUCAAACAGCCUUGCAGUUAGUUACUAGCCUCAGCUUGGGACAACUGAGAUUCUGACGGGGCUGUGGCUGUCAUUUGCCUUCGUAGCUGAAACCCUCUCUCUAGUCCCACUUUCAUCUGCUGUUGGUAAAUCCUGAAUUAAGCAACUAAUGUCAUAAUUAGUCACAUGUUUAAUUCAUCUGGAAAUGUAGGUACCUUUUCAUCUUUUUGUGUUUGCCCACACAUGUUUAGGUUGAAAUCAAAAAAUGUGUAAUUAUAGUUUAGCUCCACCCAUUUCCCUGGGUUUUUAUUUUGAGGGGGAACGAAUCAUCGGGAUACAGACAGCAUAGCUCCCAGAUGAGGAAGGCGGCCUCCUCCUUUGCCCACAGCUACGCACAAGCCCCAGUUCUCCUCACAGCUGCCCCCCUGCACGAUUUCCAUUUGGUCAAAAUUCAGUGUUUGCUGGGCAGCCCAGAGGCUGCGCCCUCCACUCCCUCACUCAGCAGUUUAUCGAGGGCGUGGCAGCAUUCACAGCACUCUCUGUGGCCCGUGAGGAGCCCACUCAACAUCAGCAGAGCCCAGAUGGCACUGUGGCUUUCUAAGGUCUUUGCCGACCUCUGGAAGUUAUGAGGAGGAGAAAAUUAUUCAGCCAAAGCAUCAAGCAUUUGCAACCAGUCUGGGGAUCAGAUGCAAAGGAGAUGUUUUUAUGAGCUACAGACCUCAGCUCUACCCACAGCCACGUCCCGGGGUCUCUGCAUGCCGCCCAGUACUGGAAAGCUGCCUCUGCCCGCUUUCUUGAACAUUCCUGUCUCUUGCUUUCUUGAACAUUCCUGUCUCUUGGUUGCCUUAGUCUCUACUACCUUCUCAGAUUACGGCUCCUUUUGUGCUAAUUACACCGAAAAAAUUGAAAGAAUGUCGCUGACUUUACAAAGAACACAAAGCAGGCUUGCUUUAAAAACUAAAUAUAGCCAAUUUCUUUCAGAAGGCAGACAACUCAGCUUUCAAACAAUUUCUACUAUGUGGAUUAAUUGCAGAUAGCCAAUUCAUUUAUUAAGACCCAAAUGACAGAAGGGCUCAGCUACUGGGAGGACAAAUUAAACAUAUAUGUUGCUUUUGGGGGCCAUUUACAUAAAAUGAGAAGAUCUGAUUAAUGAUAAGUUUUACUCCCCCAGUACUUAACUGUAAAUUAAGACUUGCCAGCAACGGCAGGCUAAUUUAAGCUACCAUGAAAAGAGGAAAGAAAUAGAAGCUGCCGAUCUGUAGAAAGCAGUACCUGUACUAUGCAGGUAAAAACACAAAUGAAAUGAAAAGAAAGUCUAAGUUUCCCCCUGGAAGGCUGUGGCUGCAGGAGAACGAGAGGAUGCUGUUUUUGCAGCCCUAUUUUCUGUUAUGUAAGAAAUGGUCUUUUAAAUGACAGAAUUGGGGAGGAUGUGCUACCCCUGCUAGCCAAGCAAAUUAUGAAUUCUACCCCCACCCCUCCUCCUGUGAAAUCCUCUAAGGGUUAAUAGGUGACCAGUAGCAGCUUGGAAUGAUUUAUUUUUCUAAGGAACAUUAAAUACUGAAUUGCUCAUGCUGAAAUAAUGCUACAGCUGUGCCCCUUAGGGCUGAAUUCUGGACACCAGCUCAAGUGACAGGUGUACUCGAUGUAUGCCCAGCCUGGCUGAAAUUGUGAUGCCUAACUCAAGUUUUCCCCUCGAUUAACUGGUGGGGACUCUGGAGACAGCCAGGAAAGGGCCUUUUGCCACAGACACGGAAGACCAUGUGUGCUCAGCCGUUCACAAAAAUGCCCGCCUCGGGGGAGAAUGGAGGCGCUGCUCCUUGAACAGAGAACAGGAAAAUCCAGACAGAGCUUGGAAUGCAGCAGGGAGAGAAAGUGGGAGCCGAGAGAUCUGAUCAGGACCAAACCCUUCUGGGUUUUAAAGCAAACAGGUCUGUCCUACAAUAGGCUCUUGGAGGAUUUGAGCAAUUGAAGCAAGCCUGGGGUUCUAGGAAAUGUGUCACCAAAAUUGGUAUUAUUAGAGGAAGUGGCACAAAGCUAGAAAUGCACAGUCUAAUCUGUAACAUAUUAAUGAUACCUAUUUUUAUCCCAGGGUUGCAGUGACCUAACACCAAGAAUUAAAACUCUAGAAAACUAACCCUUCACAUGUAUAAGACAGGAACACCUUGAGGGGUGGGGGCCACAGGGCAAAGCUUUCACUGAGUCCCUGGGUUGGACCUAGGGUGAGAAAUCAGUAGUCACCCAGGAAGGUAGCUGAUUUUUGAGGGAACCUGGCAACAGUGAAGGAGGGCAAGUAGAGCUCUAGACCAAACCUUGGGGGUUCUGGGGUGAUGUCAGCAUGCUGGGAAGAGGACACCUCUGAUAUGUCAGAGGCCACCCUGAGCAAACUGCACUGUGCCCUUAGGGUGUCUUGGUCUGCAGAAGGAAGGAAGAAGGCUGGGCUGUGCUCUGUCAAGCCAAGAGGGCUCCUAGACGAAGCUUCCCUUGGUCCAUCCCACCUACCACAAAGGCCCUGGACCCCAUCUCCUGGCAAGAUGGUGCCAAAUGGCCACUGGAGAGAGAUGCUGUCUGGAGCUAGAUGCUGUCAAAUCUCCCACUUGGGAGACUUGUUCCAGUAAGGAUGCUUCUGACUAAGAUGAUGGCUGAAGGUAUCAACCAAUUUAAAGCAGUGGUAGGUGUUUUGCUUUCUUAUUCUGAAAAGAUCAUCUCUAUCUUCUGAGUAACAGGAUUUUUUAAUAAUUGGACCUUCUGGAACUGUAUCAAAAAGCCUAGCUGUGAAAGAAACUUUCAAAGGAAGUUGAUAUAAAAUUUAGUUAGGACCCAGAGACAUCUAAUCUGCAAGUUAAAUGGAUACUUGAUUUACUCAAACCCAUUAAAAGCAUCCCAAAGUCUAGGAAAACUUCACUGACCCAAAAUUCCUAUCGUCACAUUAUUAACCCAUGCCUCAGGGGGGCGCCCCAUGGUAGAGUAUUUUAAAGAAAUUCUCAGCCUUAAAAGUGAGUUCCUUAAAUGGUUUUCUAUUAAUUAAAGCAGUAAUUAUUCUAAAUAUAUCAUUUCAGUGAGCUGCUGUGGGUUAGUUGAAUGCAAAAUGUGCAAAAACCAAAUUGUUGACUAACUAGUGUGAUCCCCAAGGACAUUUAAUGUUUUAAUGGUAGAUAUAAAAUGCCUUUAUAGUUCAUUUACCUUGCAGCACAUUCUUAAAAAGUGUUAAGUGAAUGUGUUUUCCUCAACCCGGCAUAACUACAUACCUGCUAGAUUUACUGAGGGUACCAAAGGCAGAGAGGGGAACUUUGUAAAAAAUAAGAAGCCUAAAAAUGACUAAAGAAUAGAACUCUACAACAAAAAUUUAGUUUCUAAAAUGGAUGCCAGAGGCAGAGGAGAUUUUGAGAGAAAAAUAUACGCAUAAUUUCUAAAACACGUAAAGCAAAACAGCAAAUCUGCAAAUGAGAAAAAAAAGCUACUAGCAGCAAGCAAGCCCUAGAAAAACAAACAAAAAAAUCACUUGUAUUGAUAGUAAUUGAACCCUCGCUUAACCCUUCUCCCAAUACCUGAUAAUUCUGUGAGAUCACCCAGCUGUCACUCUUUUCCUUUUAGAAACGUGACAUUGAUUUGUCUAGCAAAGACCUAUUACUAGAAUUCUGAGGUCUGCUUAAUGGGGCUCUAAUAAAUCUAAGUCAUCAAUUCUUGACCUUUUUUUCCUGAAAUUCUCAGUAUGUGGUAAACUGCUGAAAACACAUUUCCAAGGUUCUGUGACUGUGACAUAAAGAUAAAGGGUCAAGGCUGAGCGGCUUUGGUGGUCUGAGUGCAUCUGGGCUCUGCCCUGCCUGCACCCCAGAGGGAAAAGAAGUAAGAUCGAUCAGAAACAGUAUCUGAGGGCCGUAUCGAUGCUCUGCUUUGGGCUGAGCUGUUUGCAAACAGAAACAAAUUGCACACGACUGAAUAAGUGCUAAGGGGGGUGUGCCAAGGAGCCGUUACUGCCUUUCCUCGAAUCCUUUCCUUCCCCACCUGCCUGCUUGCUUACUGUGGUGAGAGAUCAGGAAAAUUUGUAGCCAAGAGUCUAAAUUGGCUUAUCCACAUGAGAGAGAAAGAAAGAAAGAGAAAAGAUUGAUGAUCUAGUCCUAGUUUUGGUGACUUGGAGAUAAAAGGAUGGAGGAGGGGGCCCU